GACGAACGCUGGCGGCGUGCUUAACACAUGCAAGUCGAACGAGAACGGAUUAUAGCUUGCUAUAAUUGUCAGCUAAGUGGCGCACGGGUGAGUAAUGUAUAGGUAAUAUGCCUCUUACUAAGGGAUAACAAUUGGAAACGAUUGCUAAUACCUUAUAUUCCUUUUUAUCAAAAGAUAAAAAGGGAAAGAUUUAUUGGUAAGAGAUUAGCCUGUAUUGUAUCAGUUAGUUGGUGGGGUAAUGGCCUACCAAGACAAUGACGCAUAACUGGUUUGAGAGGAUGAUCAGUCACACUGGAACUGAGACAAGGUACAGACUCAUACGGGAGGCAGCAGUGGGGAAUAUUGCACAAUGGACGAAAGUCUGAUGCAGCAACGCCGCGUGGAGGAUGACACAUUUCGGUGCGUAAACUCCUUUUAUAUAAGAAGAUAAUGACGGUAUUAUAUGAAUAAGCACCGGCUAACUCCGUGCCAGCCGCCGCAGUAAGAC
rnacentral:rRNA from 1 species